rnacentral:lncRNA from 1 species
CCUUCUUGCAGCUUUUGCCUCUCAAUCUUUCUUUGCUUUUUUCUCAAAUUUUCUUUAGAAUUUCUCUCUCUUUUACACAUGACUUAUCUCUAAUUUUCACCCAAAAUCAAGUAUCUGGUCCAUAUGGGAUGCCCCAUAUAAAUAGGUGAACAUGGGAUGUGAGGAAUGACCAAGAGGCGCCAACCUUUGGCGCUCCACCUUCUCACACAGUGAAAUAAAUCAUUAUGUUUUAUUUUUGGUACAAGAGAGCCAUCACAUAGAAUGACUC